rnacentral:rRNA from 1 species
GUGUGCGGCCACGCCACCCUGAACGAGCCUGGUCCCGUCUGACCUCGGAAGCUAAGCAGGGUCGGGCCUGGUUAGUUCUUGGAUGGGAGACCACCUAGGAAGACCAGGUGCUGUAGGCG